rnacentral:rRNA from 1 species
UAGCGUAUAUUAAAGUUGUUGCGGUUAAAAAGCUCGUAGUUGGAUUUCUGUUUUAGCAAGCCGGUCCACACUAUGUGUGAGUAUCUGGUUCGGCUAGAGCAUCCUCCUGAGGAACGUUGGUGCGCUUUAUUGCGUGGCACGGAAUUCAGGACUUUUACUUUGAGGAAAUUAGAGUGUUCACGGCAGGCGCUUGCCCUGAAUAUAUUAGCAUGGAAUAAUGAUAUAGGACCCACGUUCUAUUUUGUUGGUUUCUAGAACGAGGGUAAUGAUUAAUAGGGAUAAUUGGGGGCACUCGUAUUAAGACGUC